AGACGUGCUAGCCGCGGUGCGCUGACGGGUUCAAGGAAAGUUUCUGCUGCUCGCUUCUUUUUAGUUUUCUUGCAAGCAAACUCAGUCCCACCUGGGGACUUCUCUGCGCUGACCAAAAAUAUCCUAUUUAGGGCAUCUCAAAUUAAAUUAAAGGCGCUUCUUUCUCUUAACUUGGAGUCAGUGUUGUGCCAGGAUAAGAGGGAAACACCAGCUGGAAGUUGAAAAGAUUUUUAAAGCAAUGGCUGAGACCGGCUGGGAAGGAGACAGAGGCAGCUUUCAGAGAGACGGAAGGAAAAAGCAAACCGGGGCGCCUUCAUGCCCUGGUUAGGAGCAAGUGUGGAUGUGCAGAUCCCUUGAAACCCUACUGGUGCUUCACUUCUCGAACCAAAUUGGCAAAGGAAUCAUAAGGCAACAGAUUAGAAUUAAGAAAAACCAUGGUUCCGAUCACUCAGUUGAACAUGGUAACAAGCAAGGAUUUGGACCCCUGUACAGGAAACAAUGACAAUUGGUGGACAAGGGCCAGGAGUUUCUGAAGGUGAAAUCUUCGUUGGAUGCAGGAUACAAAGCUGCAAAGCUAAAACAGAAAUAUUAUUAUUUCGGGCUUGGAAAUAUCCUUCCAUCUUUCCUACUAAUUAUGCUGAACCUUACCUCUGUUCCUGUUCCCUGCUUCAGUAGCUCAGUUCUCCCUUGACCCUGCCCUCUUCUUCGGAUGUUUUCUGAGAAAUAAGCCCCACUAUGCUGGGUAGUGUUUAUUUCACAGAAAAAUUGGCAGCUGGA